AAUUGAGGCAUCUGUAACUUUUAAUUUUUUAUUUAUUUUUUAUAAGGGUUAAUUGUAUUAUUUAUAAACAUAGCAAAUUACAAAUAUAUCCCUACACAGUUCAACUUUCUUAUAUUAUUACUGCAAAAGUUCUGAUGUUUUUAAAUAUGUCCCUGCUGAAUCUGUUAGAAAAAUUUAGUUAACUAUAGAUAAAAUACUUAGAUUUAGUUUGUUAUUGAGGUCUAUCUAAUGCUAUUAGAUAAAAUGGAGUUGAGAAAAAAGUAUAUAGGGAUAUAUUUCUGCGUUCUCCGAUGGGACUGUAGAAAAUAUAUCGUAACCGAUUCAUCGCGAUAUGCGGAACACAAUAUUACGUACGGAAACAAACAUGGUAUUUUCCAACGUACUUUCUUACCGCACGUAACGUAAUUUCUCGGCAAUCCCAAACGAAGCCUUACUCUUGGUUAGUCAAUUAGGUAAAUUGACAUUUUUAUCAUUCUUAUAUUAUACAUUGUUCCCUCAAUCAAAACUCUAGCAAUGAAAACUCUUUUUCUUGUUCUUCCUCUUUCUCUUUCUUUACUCCUUCAUGUUAGUUUCGAAUACGUAACUAGAAUUUUUCCGCCCCCAUUCAUUCACGACACAUGUUACUUUGCCAAUGCCGAACGCAUGUUUCUUUCCCAUUCAAUUUCUUCUAUGAUUUUUUUUUUAUUUUGCUAAAAAAAAAGGUUUAAGAGAAAAUGAGUGAGAGAAGAGGUUGCAAUAAUAAUGAAUUGGGCUGAGUUUUAAAGAACAAGAAGAUGAGAAAAAAGAUAACCAUUGAAAUUUUUUUGGAAAUAUGUUUCUGCAUGAUUACAGCAGUUAGGACUUUUGGCAGGACAUAUUUAUGAUGGCAAAAUUGACAUUUCACUUAUCUGUUGUUAAAAAAAUAGGGUAAAUUGCAUACAACUUCCUGUAAACAUAGCGAAUUGCAAAUAUAUCCCUAUAAAGUUUAAUUUUCCUAUGUUAUCCCUAUAAAAGUCCAGUAAUAUUCAUAUUUGUCCCUCCAGUUUGUUAUCAUUAGAGGACUAUUUAUUUUUUAAUAGGAGAUAAGUAAAAUGUCAAUUUUACCAUAAAACAUGUCUUUCUAAAACCCCAACUGCUAUAAUCGUGUAGAAAUAUUCUGCCAAAAUAUUUUUAAUGGUCAUCUCCUUCCUCAUCUCUUCUUCUUUAAAACUAACCCAAUCCACCAUUAUUGCAACAUUUUCUCUCAUUUUUUUCUCUUAAACCUUUUUUUUGAACAAAAUAAAAAAAAUUACAAAGAAAAUUGAAUGAGAAAGCAAUAUGCGUUCAAUAUGGGUACAACACGUGUCGUGAAUGAACGGUGACGGAGAAAUUCUAGUUAUAGGUUUAAAACUAGCAUAAAGAAGAGAGAGAAAUAGGCAUAGGAAGAGAAAGAAGAAAAAGAGUUUUCAUUAUUAGAGUUUUGAUUGAGAGAAGAAUGCAUAAUAUAAGAGGGAUAAAAAGAUCAAUUUACUUUAUUAACUAAUCAGGGUUAAGUAUUUUACCUAUGGUUAACUAAAUUUUUCUAACGGAUCCUAACGGUAGAGACAUAUCUAAAAAUAGUAGGACUUUUGCAGAGAUAACAUAAGAAAGUUAAAUUUUAUAGGAAUAUAUACAUUUGCAAUUCGCUAUAUUUACAGGGAGCCGUAUGCAAUUAACCCAAAAAAUAAAUAGUUUGAAUAUUACUGGGUUUUUGCAGAAAUAACAUAAGAAUGUUAAACUUUAUAGGAAUAUAUAUUCAAUUUGCUAUGUUUACAGAG
rnacentral:lncRNA from 1 species